rnacentral:rRNA from 1 species
GACGAACGCUGGCGGCGUGCUUAACACAUGCAAGUCGAACGGAAAGGCCCUGCUUUUGUGGGGUGCUCGAGUGGCGAACGGGUGAGUAACACGUGAGUAACCUGCCCUUGACUUUGGGAUAACUUCAGGAAACUGGGGCUAAUACCGGAUAGGAGCUCCUGCUGCAUGGUGGGGGUUGGAAAGUUUCGGCGGUUGGGGAUGGACUCGCGGCUUAUCAGCUUGUUGGUGGGGUAGUGGCUUACCAAGGCUUUGACGGGUAGCCGGCCUGAGAGGGUGACCGGCCACAUUGGGACUGAGAUACGGCCCAGACUCCUACGGGAGGCAGCAGUGGGGAAUAGUGCACAAUGGGCGGAAGCCUGAUGCAGCAACGCCGCGUGCGGGAUGACGGCCUUCGGGGUGUAAACCGCUUUCGCCUGUGACGAAGCGUGAGUGACGGUAAUGAGUAAAGAAGCACCGGCUAACUACGUG